ensembl:ncRNA ZK470.10 ncRNA
GCUCUGUUCUGCUGUUUUCUGUGCUUUAUAUACCUGACCGUCUUUUUUUGUAGAGCGCCCAACAUGUGGGGCGUUCUUGAAAGUCCGACAAAAACGCGAUUCGCACCUGGUUCCAAAGCUCCGCCAAAUCACUCGAGAG